rnacentral:lncRNA from 13 species
UUUAAUGUUCCUGAAGGGAACGAAGAAGGUGACAGACUGUAAUAAAUCCACAGCGCACUCCAGACAGGCUAAAUAUACUGUACAGCCAGAAUGCUGCCACAAUAUAUACAUUUCCCUUCUUUUGCUCUACCCAACUUUUCAUAUCUUAUUAUUUUUCCUCUUUCUCCUCCUCGGCUUGGGCGGUGCAUAUUUUUGCAUAGAUUUAAAGACACAGUGAUAUCUCGCCUGAACCUAUGUGGUAAUUUGCAUUGUGUGUUUUUUUUGGUGACCCGUAAUUAGUGGGUAUGAGAUUUGGGCAAUGGGGUAUGUAUGGCCUCUAUCAGUUUGUGUGUGUGUACCUUUCGGGUUUGUGUAGUGCCGCCACUAGUACCCGAGUGACAUUUUCAGCACCUUUACAACCCCACCUCUCCGCAAUCAAAGAUUAGCCCCUUUCAAAGUGGUUCCAUUCCGAAGUAAUUGUUUUACGCCGAUAAAAAGGAAAUAAAGAGUCGAGAGGAAAGAAUGGAAACAAAGAAUGAAAAGCACAAUGGACGGACACCUCCAACCCAGAUUCCACUCACAUUAGCCGCCUCUCGGACCUGAUCGCAAAACCAGAUAAACUUCCCAAUAAACGAGCCAAUCAAGACUCCCUUUCUUAUUCUGACUGCCGACUCCCAACUCCCAACACCUCUAACCCAGUUUGGAUUUAUUGGUCAGCAAAUAAUCAAAGCACUUUUUCUUUAGGGGAUUAGAGAAGGGGCUGAGCUUAGCCCGCUGGACCAAACACUAGCGGGAGGCCAGGGGGUCCCCUUAUCAGGGCCCGGCUUCUGGAGCCAGCUUCACUACAGGACAGGUUGCUUUCAUAUUCCCUCCGUCUGGUGGAACAACAAAGGCCUGACAGCACCCGGCAAUACUGCCCCAAAACGUCUGAUGGGACGUUAAGGAUCCGCUCGCCCCUACGCCGCCUUUAUGCCUUCAUGUAUUCAUCAGUAGGAUGAGUCGUCACUACUCCUCAUGGGACAAUUACCCGGACCCCAAUGAUAUUGGAAGCUUGGCUCCAAUGUUGCCUCUCGUCAUUCAGCUCCUCUUCGGUGAAGAUUUUUUAAGGGGGAUACACAAAGGAUUGACAUAUUGCCUUAAUGAGGGUUGCAGGAAUAUUCAUAUUCAGACCUGUAUCAAGAAUAUAUUCAACAUGAUGUCAUUUCUGCUGUUGCCGUGUAAUAAUAGCUCAGUGCUGCGUAUGUCACUUGCCAGGAUAAAUGACGUCAAAUUGAAAGUGUCAUGA